ACGAAAAAAUGAAACUUUGAUAGCCUGUAGAGUUUCGGGCGCUGAGUCGAAUGGUCUUGGUCCGAAGUCUCUACGACGAAGCGUUCUUGAGAUAUUUCACUUUGAAAUUGCAAAAACGGGGGCCGCGCCCUGACGUCAUGCGGCCAUUUGGUUACAUCAUCACGGGCUGCCUACGUCAUUGUGGCAAAGUCGUUUCUCUUUGCCAGUCUACAAGCACUAAUUUUAGUUGGUAUUUCAAGGGAAGAUGGGCGAUUCCGAACAAUCCUCUGUCCCCAGCAAUGAAGGCAGCGAUGCUGAGGCCAGUGAGGACGACCAACAGCCCACCGCCGCGUAUGGUUGGGGCAGGGAGCCCACAUACUCUGCUGAGGAGCUGCCAUCGCGUGUAACAAAUGUGGAGGAAGAAGAUGCGUCAGCAGCUGCGUCCGUCGGACAGAAGACGAGUAGCUUGGCCACCAGAAUCUCGAUUCGUUUGGGACUCCGACUGGUGCGAGCGUGGACAAAAGUGUAUAGCCAUGCCCAGCCCGCGGGAAUGAUUUUGCUGGUAGGAUGCUGCCGUCGCUGUCGACAAGACGGCCCAAGGUUUCUUGCGUAGCGGACCUCGCAGAUUACGAGAUCGUAUCCUUGCAUUAGGCUGUGCUCAUCACUGCUCUUCGAGGUUAUCUCGACAUGCAGAAGCCGCCAAUGCCAGUGACAGAAGAGUCUGACAUUAGAUCUCUACGCUAUGCGGCACACAGGCAGUACACACUAUGUACACGGCAAAUUGGGCAAGCACGUUCGUUGUCGUCUUCCAGCCUGCGUUGUGAAUACCAUCAGGCAAAGAUAUCCAAAUCCUGCACCACCUCAGCCUUCUCAGGAGGCUUCCACCUGGAAUUUGGCAGGGAAACACGCUUCUCCAAGGCAGGAACAUGGAGGUUGCCAUUUGCAACCGCUACCACCUCACACAUGAGCUUGUCAACAUACUCAUAGCUCUUUCUGUCGUAUAAUUUUCUAUUUGGCCACAGUCUUCUUUAUGCUUUGAGAACUGGACUUUAUACCUUCC